rfam:Tupaia belangeri cont1.352996, whole genome shotgun sequence.
UUUCUAAGACGACUGCACCAACCCUUACAACUAAUUUUCAGCAAUUUUUUUUUAGUGAUUUUUCGGUGGAGUCCUGUUGGUGUUAUACUCUCGGACAGGUUAUCGGUCUCUCCCACUAGAUUGAUGAGAUCAGGCAUC